rnacentral:tRNA from 1 species
GGCUCAAGCGUGGCUCAAAAGUUUUUGUCCUGCCGUACGC